AGACUGGUUGAUCCUGCCAGUAAUAUACGCUUAACUCCAAGACUAAGCCAUGCAAGUGCAGUUCAGCUUACGCGAGACGACGGACGGCUCAGUAGGAUAGUUCCAAUGCGCGCAGGAGAGCGAACGGAUAACCGUGGGAAUCCAUGGCUAAACCGGGCAGACGGGGACACACGAGCAAAGGCGGUGGCCCAGAGGAAAGCCUGCAGCAGAGACUAGCCCAUCAACCUGGCGGUAGGGUAACGGCCUACGGAGGUGAUCACGGGUGCGGGGGAUCAGAGUCCGGUGCCGGAGAGGGGGCAUGCGAGGUGGCCACCAUGUCCAAGGACAGCAGCAGGCGCGCAAAUUACCCAAUCCUCGGAGGGAGGUAGUUCGGAGCCAUACGACGAAUGGAGACACGGCAAAAACGUGUCUGAGGAGCAACCGGAGGGCAAGUCUGGUGCCAGCAGCCGCGGUAAUUCCAGCUCCGGGAGUGUAUAGUAACAUUGAUGCAGUUAAAAGGUCCGCAGUCCGCACGCGCACCACUGAGCAAAGGGGAGUGUUUGCAGGACACCAGGCCGCAUUGCACGCGCCGCACACGAGCAGCGGGGGCCGGGCGGACCAGCGCGGGAGGAGUGAAACCCGGGGAUCGCACUGGGACGGACCGAGGCGAAGGCGCCCGGCAGCGGUGUUUCGGAUGACGAUGGACGAAGCCUGGGGGAGCGAAGAUGAUUAGAUACCGUCGUAGUCCCAGGAGUAAACGCAGCCGCGGGCGAUGGGGACACUCUGUCGCCGGCCGAAAGGACGCGGUUCUGGGGGGAGUAUGGUCGCAAGGCUGGAACUUGAAGGAAUUGACGGAAGGGCACCACCAGGAGUGGAGUCUGCGGCUUAAUUUGACUCAACACGGGGAAUCCUACCAGCGGGGGACACGGGGACGAGCCCACGGGCGAUUCCGUGGCGGGUGGUGCAUGGCCGUUGUUGGUUGGUGGGGCGACCAGUCAGGUUGAUUCCGGUAACGAGCGAGGCCGGCGUGGCACCCACUGCUCUACACGUGGGUGCAGAGACUGCCUGUGCAAGCAGGAGGAGGGGCCGGCGAUAACAGGUCUGAGAUGCCCCCAGAUGCGCUGGGCCGCACGCGGACUACAGUGCAGCCGGCACGCACACAGCAACACAGGCGGCUGCGUGGAGGGGAUUGCAGGCUGCAACGCCUGCAUGAACGAGGAAUUCCUAGUAGGCGCGUUUCAGCACAGCGCGCCGACUGUGUCCCUGCCCUUUGUACACACCGCCCGUCGAUACUACCGAUGUGGGCUGGCGCAAGCGUGCGCGCAAGUGUCUGUCCAUAGAGGAAGUAAAAGUCGUAACAAGGUUUCCGUAGGUGAACCUGCGGAAGGAUUGACAU
rnacentral:rRNA from 1 species